AUAGUUACAAAGGAACUGUAGAUUGUGUACAGGCUAGAGCUGCUUUGGAUAAAGCUACUGCGCUUCUGAGUAUGUCUAAAGGUGGAAAGCGCAAAGAUAGUGUGUGGGGAUCUGGAGGCGAGCAGCAGUCUGUCAAUCACCUUGUUAAAGAGAUUGAUAUGCUGCUUAAAGAGUAUUUACUCUCUGGAGAUAUCUCUGAAGCUGAACACUGCCACAAAGAGCUGGAAGUACCUCAUUUUCACCACGAGCUUGUGUAUGAAGCCAUUGUAAUUGUUUUAGAAUCAACUGGAGAAGAUGCAUUCAAGAUGAUCUUAGAUUUAUUAAAAUCCUUGUGGAAGUCUUCUACCAUUACCACAGACCAAAUGAAAAGAGGUUAUGAGAGAAUUUACAGUGAAAUUCCAGAUAUUAAUCUGGAUAUCCCACACUCAUACUCUGUGCUGGAGAGCUUUGUAGAGGAAUGUUUUCAGGCUGGAAUCAUUUCCCAACAAGUCCGAGAUCUUUGUCCAUCAAGGGGAAGAAAGCGUUUUGUAAGUGAAGGAGAUGGAGGCCGUCUUAAACCAGAGAGCUACUGAACACAAGAACUCUUACAAUCUUAGGUGUGAUAACGGCAGAUCUGAACUGGAACACAUUGAUUGGUCUUAAAUACUAGACAGUUAAGUAAAUGGUGGCUGGAACAUCUAUUUUUCUACAAAACUGGAAAAAUGAACCCGGUUCUACAAGAAUGUACAACAAAAUAAACCGUGAAGCAGUGUUGA